rnacentral:pre_miRNA from 1 species
UUUUCCGGUGACUAUGAUUGACACAAUAGUCACUAUGAUUGACACAAUGGUGACUAUGAUUGACUAGUGACUAUUGUGUCAAUCAUAGUCACCGGAAAAUAC